GACGAACGCUGGCGGCACGCUUAACACAUGCAAGUCGAACGAGAGAAGAGAAGCUUGCUUUUCUGAUCUAGUGGCGGACGGGUGAGUAACACGUGAGCAAUCUGCCUUUCAGAGGGGGAUACCGAUUGGAAACGAUCGUUAAUACCGCAUAACAUAAUUGAACCGCAUGAUUUGAUUAUCAAAGAUUUAUCGCUGAAAGAUGAGCUCGCGUCUGAUUAGCUAGUUGGUAAGGUAACGGCUUACCAAGGCGACGAUCAGUAGCCGGACUGAGAGGUUGAUCGGCCACAUGGGGACUGAGACACGGCCCAGACUCCUACGGGAGGCAGCAGUGGGGAAUAUUGCACAAUGGAGGAAACUCUGAUGCAGCGAGGCCGCGUGAGGGAAGAAGGUUUUAGGAUUGUAAACCUCUGUCUUCAGGGACGAAAAAAGACGGUACCUGAGGAGGAAGCUCCGGCUAACUACGUG
rnacentral:rRNA from 1 species